rnacentral:sRNA from 1 species
UUGUGUCUUUCAAGCGAGCACUGUGUGUCACAUGGGGAUCAUGUUUGGGGCCCUUAGAGUGUCAUCCCCAACCAGCAGCAGCCGCCUCUGGGCAGGUGUGGGCAGUGCCGUCCCCAGCUGAAGCAGGCCUGCCUGUGGACACAUGCUUGUCACAGUCGACAAAGCAGCUCUGCAGAGCUCGGGCCACAACAGGAGCAAAGCUGCAGCUGGCAAACGCCCUUCUGGAAAAGGAAGUGAUAAACUAUGAGGACAUUGAGGCUCUCAUUGGCCCACCGCCCCAUGGGCCGAAGAAAAUGAUCGCACCGCAGAGGUGGAUCGACGCCCAGAGGGAGAAACAGGACUUGGGAGAGGAGGAGACCGAAGAGACCCAGCAGCCCCCACUUGGAGGCGAAGAGCCGACUUGGCCCAAGUAGUUGGGACGUGUUGGCCGCAUGUGCGGGUGGUCCGGGAAGUGAGGGCUCACUCAGCCACCCUGAGUUGCUUUUCAGCUGAGUUUGCAUUUCCUCUCACGGCCCUCAGUAGUCCCUGCACAGUGACUUCUGAGAUCUGUUUAUUGAUGACCCUUUUCAUGAUUUUAAGUUUCUCUGCAGAAACUACUGACGGAGUCCUGUGUUUGUGAGUCGUUUCCCCCAUGGGGAAGGUUAUCAGUGCUUUCCCGAGUGAGCGUGGAACACCUCGAGUUCCCAGGGUUAUGGACAGUCAUUCCCAGUGUGGCUGAGGCCACCCAGAGGCAGCAGAGCAUUCAGACUCCGAACAGACCCCUGUUCAUGCCAACGCUUGCACGGCCGCCCCAGUUCCUGUGGCUCCCUCGGAAUGCUAAGGGGAUCAGACAUGAAAGGACCCUGUGAGCCGAUUGUCCUAU